GGCAGAACCUGCGGGAUAGGUGGGAGGCUCCUCCGCUGGAAGGAAGGGAAGAGAGGACAGCCGCUGCCCGGGAGCGAGGAGCCGUUUGGGGUCCGGGAGUCAGGCCGCCCACAGCGUCUCCUGCAGCGGAGACGGCGCAGCCGGCGUGUGCCCGGGCUGCCUCGGCGACCCAGCUUGCAGGUGGCAGUGUAGAAGCCAAAACAGGAGCUUCCAGAAGUGGUUUCUGAAAAAUAAAAGCGAAUAUACACGAGUAAGCAAGCACAGGAAUCUGAAAAAACACAGAACUGAACAAAUGGGAGUAUUUCGCAUUUGUCACAUUAGCCUUUGCAUGUUCCCGAGAAAGCUGGUUUCGUUUCCUCAGUGGACCUUGCUUCUCAUGGCAAGUCUCGUCAUUAUGAGCCCAAAGUUCCCAACUGUCCAGCGGGAAGAAUAUCAAAAUUAUCUGCUCACCUCAGAAGGGCUCCCUUCCUUUGACGUUCUUGUCCUUGAGUCCCUCAUAGUCUCAUGGAAGCCUCAUACCUCUUUUUUCCUGCACAAGACAUGUGAGAUGGGAUCUGCAAUUUCAUAAAACAUGUCAUUUUCAUGUCCUCAUCUAUUCUCCUCGUGGAGUCUUCUGUUUAAACAUUAAAUAUUUUUCAGCUUCAUGAUAAGGUAAUUUUGGUGGCAAGCACUUGCAGACUCAUUACAAUAUUUCCAAAGGAGGAAAAUGGGAAUAUUUACAUAAUGUGGUCCUCUUAAAAUAUUUUCUUUCCAUUUUUUCAUUUGUUCCAUUUUGCCUAGGAAACACUCUGUAGGUAGAUGGUAGUGGAGGCAAUUUCACUUGGUUUAAAACUCUCUUGGAUAGAUUCCUUACUGGAUACAUUUACUCUCUUUUGUACUAAAGGGAGGCAUGACUGUCAUCACAAACCCUCCCAUUUAUGAGAAUUUGCUCCAGAGACUUGUAGUAUUAUUAAUAGGCAGCAUCCAUAUGGUUUGCACAAGUAAAAAGAAGAGAAUGAGCCCCUCAAAUUAUUUAAAUUUGAACCAUUUCAU